UGAGGAAUCUUGCGCAAUGGGGGAAACCCUGACGCAGCAACGCCGCGUGAGUGAGGAAGGCCUUCGGGUCGUAAAGCUCUGUCAGAUGGGAAGAAAUGGAUGGGGGCUAAUAUCGUCCAUCCUUGACGGUACCAUCAGAGGAAGCACCGGCUAACUCCGUGCCAGCAGCCGCGGUAAUACGGGGGGUGCAAGCGUUGUUCGGAAUCAUUGGGCGUAAAGCGCGCGCAGGCGGCUUGGUAAGUCAGAUGUGAAAUCCCUGGGCUUAACCCAGGAAGUGCAUUUGAUACUGCCUAGCUAGAGUACGGGAGAGGAAAGUGGAAUUCCUGGUGCAGAGGUGAAAUUCGUAGAUAUCAGGAGAAACACCGGUGGCGAAGGCGACUUUCUGGCCCGAUACUGACGCUCAGGCGCGAAAGCGUGGGGAGCAAGCAG
rnacentral:rRNA from 1 species